AAACUGUCUCCUUAAGGAUGUACUUAGGUGAGGUUUUGGAAUUUGUGUCAAAUGUUUGGAAUCCUUGGUGUUUUUCCAUACAAUACAAUGUAAAAUAUUUUGCCCCAUAACACCCAUUUAUUUUUUCAUAUAAGACUUAAUAGCUCAUGAAAGGUCAUUUAACAAAAUUUUAGAAGAUUCUUAAUUUUCUUUCUUUUGUUUUGAGACCUUAUAAUACUAAUGCAAAUAUAAGGUAAAAGUCCGAGUCAGCCUUUUCCCGCCAUUUUUAAAAUCUCAAAUAUCUCGAAAAGGAGGUCCAUGACCUAU
rnacentral:lncRNA from 1 species